rnacentral:SRP_RNA from 2 species
CAGGUGGCAUAGCUGGGAGGUUAGCUCUCUCCUGUAACCGUGAACGAGCUUUACACGGAGUGAGUCAUUCAAGAGAUUGUACUUUUAUGCAACAGUCCUGUGCUGGACGUUGAGGUUCUGUCCUGUGGGAUUAGGCCUGCAGGAACCGCGCCAGGUCCGGAAGGAAGCAACGCUAACUACAGUCCCUAAUGCUCACAGGGUAGCGGAACUGAGAAAAGCACAGGGUAGCUGCUGCAUGAAAUGCAGUCCAUUGAGUGACGCGCCACCUG